GACAGAGGCCCCGAGCGUUAAUCGGAAUCACUGGGCUUAAAGGGUGCGUAGGCUGAUCCGAAAGUGCUUUGUGAAAUCCCAUGGCUCAACCAUGGAACUGCGGGGCAUACUGCGGAUCUUGAGGAAGGUAGGGGCCGCGAGAACAGUAGGUGGAGCGGUGAAAUGCGUAGAUAUCUACUGGAAUGCCGAUGGUGAAGACGCGCGGCUGGGCCUUUCCUGACGCUGAGGCACGAAAGCGUGGGGAGCAAACAGG
rnacentral:rRNA from 1 species